GUGAUAAACCGGAGGAAGGUGGGGAUGACGUCAAGUCCUCAUGGCCCUUAUGUCCAGGGCUACACACGUGCUACAAUGGCCGGUACAGAGGGCAGCAAUACCGCGAGGUGGAGCGAAUCCCAAAAAGCCGGUCUCAGUUCGGAUUGCAGUCUGCAACUCGACUGCAUGAAGCCGGAAUCGCUAGUAAUCGUGGGUCAGCCAUACCACGGUGAAUACGUUCCCGGGC
rnacentral:rRNA from 1 species